rnacentral:rRNA from 1 species
CGCUCAGGAUGAACGCCGGCGGUGUGCCUAAUACAUGCAAGUCGUACGCACUGGCCCAACUGAUUGAUGGUGCUUGCACCUGAUUGACGAUGGAUCACCAGUGAGUGGCGGACGGGUGAGUAACACGUAGGUAACCUGCCCCGGAGCGGGGGAUAACAUUUGGAAACAGAUGCUAAUACCGCAUAACAACAAAAGCCACAUGGCUUUUGUUUGAAAGAUGGCUUUGGCUAUCACUCUGGGAUGGACCUGCGGUGCAUUAGCUAGUUGGUAAGGUAACGGCUUACCAAGGCGAUGAUGCAUAGCCGAGUUGAGAGACUGAUCGGCCACAAUGGAACUGAGACACGGUCCAUACUCCUACGGGAGGCAGCAGUAGGGAAUCUUCCACAAUGGGCGCAAGCCUGAUGGAGCAACACCGCGUGAGUGAAGAAGGGUUUCGGCUCGUAAAGCUCUGUUGUUGGAGAAGAACGUGCGUGAGAGUAACUGUUCACGCAGUGACGGUAUCCAACCAGAAAGUCACGGCUAACUACGUGCCAGCAGCCGCGGUAAUACGUAGGUGGCAAGCGUUAUCCGGAUUUAUUGGGCGUAAAGCGAGCGCAGGCGGUUGCUUAGGUCUGAUGUGAAAGCCUUCGGCUUAACCGAAGAAGUGCAUCGGAAACCGGGCGACUUGAGUGCAGAAGAGGACAGUGGAACUCCAUGUGUAGCGGUGGAAUGCGUAGAUAUAUGGAAGAACACCAGUGGCGAAGGCGGCUGUCUGGUCUGCAACUGACGCUGAGGCUCGAAAGCAUGGGUAGCGAACAGGAUUAGAUACCCUGGUAGUCCAUGCCGUAAACGAUGAGGCAUGU